rnacentral:rRNA from 1 species
GACGAACGCUGGCGGCGUGCUUAACACAUGCAAGUGGAGCGACGAACCGGGCUUGCCCUGGGGCAGAGCCGCGAACGGGUGAGUAACACGUGGGUAACCCACCCGAUGACCGGGACAACCCGAGGAAACUCGGGCUAAUACCGGAUGUGCUCCUUGACCUCGAGGUCAAGGCGUAAAGAUGCUUCGGCCUUGCAUCGGGACGGCCCGCGGCCCAUUAGCUUGUUGGUGGGGUAAAAGGCCUACCAAGGCGACGACGGGUAGCCGGCCUGGAGGCGACCGGCCACACUGGGACUGAGACACGG